GCCAGUAGUCAUAUGCUUGUCUCAAAAGAUUAAGCCAUGCACGUCUAAGGAUAAAUAUUAUUUAACCAUAAACCUGCGAAAGGCUCAUUAAAUCAGUAAUAAUCUAUUCUAUUAUUUAAUCCUAUUUGGAUAACUGUAGUAAUUCUAGAGCUAAUACAUGCAAAAAACCUGGACUUUACAGAACAGGUGUACUUAUUAGACUUUAAAACCGAUUACAAUUUAUUGUAAAUUUAAAAUGAAUUAAAAUAAGUUUAUGAAUCGCAGAUCAUUUUGUGAUGAUAAGAAUGAAUUUCUGCCCUAUCAACUUUCGAUGGUAAUGUAGUGGAUUACCAUGGUGAUGACGGGUAACGGGGAAUUAGGGUUUGAUUCCGGAGAAAAGGCCUGAGAGACGGCCAUUACUUCUAAGGAAGGCAGCAGGCGCGUAAAUUACCCAAUCCUAAUACGGGGAGGG
rnacentral:rRNA from 1 species